rfam:Dipodomys ordii contig_12642, whole genome shotgun sequence.
GGUGGCUCAGUGGUAAAGUGCUUGCCUUGCAUGCAUGAGGUCCUGGGUUCAAUUCCUCAGCACCA